rnacentral:lncRNA from 1 species
UCUGUUAUUUCGAGUUUUGCUUCGCUAGUCUCUGUCGCGCGUAAUAGCCACAAAUGCCAGCGUACCUGUUACAUAACAAAUUGUGAUAAUAUAGCCAUGCUGCCGUUCUUACGUUGUGGAUUCGGAGCGUGAUAAACAUUUCGAACUGCAGCACGAGAGGCUCAUCCACGAUCGCUGCGCGAGGAGAAAAAAAUUUGCUGCGGAAGAACUGAUCGUGCGUUUUCAUGCACUACAGUCGCUACAGUUCGACAUGGUUAACUUGCACCAACUCGUCCAAUGUUCGGCUUUGCGAGCAACACAGUAGGAUGACUAAAGGACGUAACACUUCUGGACGGGAAUUAUAUGUUGAAGAAUUGUUUUGAAAUGUACAAUAACGAAGAUAUUGGCAUUCUCCUUGCACCAUCUUCUGCGAGCUGCAAAGGCUCUCCACCUAAAGUAUGACAAGGAAGCAGUAGACUCAUCAUUCACGAUGCUUAUUUUAUGUGCUUCCAAGGGAUGCGGCCAAAGGACGACCUGCGGAAUAUUUGUGCGCUCGAUCGGCGCCGCAAUCUCCCGAGCAAAGUUCACCUUUGCUGAAGAUCCAAGCGUAAGAAACUGAAGCAGCAGACGGCUUCAAGCCAUGAUCUGUGCGAAUCACCUUUAUGGGAGCUGCAAAAAAGAAUAAAAAGUGUAUCCCCAGUGUUUAUGUACUUUUAUUAUACUGUAACAGUAUAUUUCUGAACAAACCAUCUGAAACAUGGUGGAUCGGUAGCACUGCAGAAAGCCGAUGAAUGCUUGUGAAAACAUGGAAAUACACAAAGCAGCAUACGAUCUUA